AUGAAGCGAGAUGAUUGGCUGGCUCAUUUCAAAACAAACGAUGAAUCAAUCAAUGAUUGAUCAGUUUCCGAGUGUUUUUGAAUGUUCUAGUUCAAAAAGUUCAAAUUUCUCACACGUUUAGUUCUUCGGUGGUGGUUGAAGUGUGUGAGGUUCGUCGUACGUGACUGGAUACGUACCAUGUGGUUUUUGCGCGUCUCGAUCAUGUCGGUCCAUUGUUUUUUGUUUUACGGUUAUAGAAUUAACGUUUGGAUUUUGGAAUCAAAUUUGCGAUUUAUGAAAAGCGGUUGUUAUGAAAAAUUAUGGGUAUGUAGUAUGAUUUGCUGUUACCGAGUAUUAACUUUCUUUUCAACGUAAUUCUUUAGUAGUUUCGCGCGAAUUCGCCCAAACCGCGCCAAAUUUCAUCGUUUGUGCUAAGCACGUUCGACGAGUUCUUUUAUUGUUUUACGAUCAAAUGUGACGAAUAUGAAGAAAUAAUGCUGAAUAAUCUGAAUCAAGAUACUCAAGUUGAAGCUUUCGUCAUCGUUAUUGGAAAAUGUAAAAGAAGAUCUCAAAUCUAUGCUAGAGUGACCAUUUCAUUCGACGAUCGGAAUUUAUCAUUUCAAGAUGUGUCCUGUUGCCCUGUAAUCGCCGAGUUAUUAAUAAUAAAUUGAGAAUCGCGAUCGGUACCUACUUGAUAUUUCGAUUCUGUUUGGUAAUUAUUUCGCUCGCGACUUUUUUCCCAUUUUUUUCCCUGUUAAAUGCUGUUUGCUAAAUAUAACAACAUUACUAUCGCUCUUCAAAAGCUGGGGUAAGUGUUUCAAAAGCCAUGUUUGAGUAGGUUGGUGAUGGGGUGGUGGUGAGACGUCGUUAUUUCUCUUUGGCCCAUUAUAGGUAUGGUGUAGGUUUUUUGUCAUGCUUUUUACGAACAUCGUAUAUCUGGAUGAAUUAUGAAUUCUACAUAAUAUAUCUUGGAAUAAAACCGAUUUAUCAAGCGGGUCAGGAAAAAUUUACUUUCAGCUGUAUCGAUGCUGCAAUUGGUCUCUAAAUUUUUUUGACGAGUGCUCUGGUGCAUUGAACAUCUAGAUGCUUGCUGCUUGGGGUAUAUUUUAAGUAGGUAGGUGUGCUUGGCGACUGGCUGUAUCAAGCAUGCUUGAUUUUAGAUAUCUUCCAAAAGGAAAUUUGAAAUCUAUGUACAUGUAUGAAUAUUGGUCUAAAAAUGGCUUUUCUAUUUUCAUCCGGCUGAACGAUUUAGAUUAGUCAACAUUGAUAAUAUACCUAUUUUGGAAUAAUACGUUUCAUAAUGUGGGUUUUUUUUUUCAUUGAAAAUUUGAAAAAGAAAAUAGUAAGUAGCUAUUUGCUAUAAAAUGCUAUAAAACUGAGCUAGUCACCAAGUAUUUAAUAAACGACGUCCCCACCACUAUAUAUCUUAUAGAUUUUUAAUGCGUAUAAUUUGUUGUUGUUUUUUUUAAUCAUUUCACUGGUAUUUAUACUUUUUUGAUGAAGUGGUUUCUUUUGAUUUUUGUGGUGCUUUCUCUUUUUAACGUCAUUGAUUUUGUUUUCUUUGAAAAAGUGUUCAUGUAAUGAUUAGUAUUUCAAGUUUGACUUUUGUGUGGUUUUUGUUUUAUUUUUCUGGUAUCUGUUCUCGUUUUCAUCUUAUUCAUUUGCAUAGGUAAGUGUGUAAUUAUAAUGACUUAUGAGGUAAGUGAAUAAAUUACUCUUAAAAUUUGUUAAUUGCUACGCAUUUUUUCAUUUUUCCGUUUAAUUUUUUUUUUGUUUUGUUUUAUGGUUUGUGUUUUUGAUUUAGGUCGUUUAUCUUUUCAAGUAAUGUAUAACUUGUUUAUAUUUAUUUUUUAGUUCAUAAUGUUUGUGUGUUAUGUAAGCAGGGUUGUCCUGUUUUAAUUGUUUAAAUACCUAUGGUCUAUUUUAUUUUACUUCUUUAUUUCAGGUCACUGAAGUUUGGGUGUAGAGUAACAUAGUGAGUUAAUGUGAUACCUAUACUUUUCUAUUUCAGCUCAUUUUUUAUACAUUUUUUGUUUCAUGUUUUGUUUGUUUGAUUUAGGCCUUUUAAUUUUGCAAGUAAGCUAUAUGACUUAGUCAUCUAUUCAAUUUUUGCUGAUUCAUGUUUUUAAUGUGAUACUUUUCUAUUUCAGUUCAUUUCUUAUACAUUUUUUGUUUCAUGUUUUGUUUGUUUGAUCUAGGCCUUUUUAAUUUUUCAAGUAAGCUAUGACUUAGUCGUCUAUUUUUUAGUUUAUUAAAUUUGGUCAAGUGAGCAAGUUGUCCUGUUUUAAUUGUUUAGAUAUAAUUUUUUUUAAUGAUUUCGAUUUUUGCAGAUUCAUGUUUUUAAUGUGAUACUUUUCUAUUUCAGCUCAUUUUUUAUACAUUUUCUGUUUGAUGUUUUGUUUUUUUGAUCUAGGCCUUUUUAAUUUUUCAAGUAAGCUAUGACUUGGUCGUCUAUUUUUUAGUUUAUUAAAUUUGGUUAUGUGAGCAGGUUGUCCUGUCUUAACUGUUUUGCUAUGAUUUUUUAAAUCUUUUUGAUUUUAGAUCAUUCGUGUUUGGAUGUAGUACUAAUACAUAUAACAUGGUGAGUUUUUUUCUCUUAGUAAAAUGAUUAAUUUUGCAAGUAAAGUAUAGGUGCGUUUAUGAUUGUCUGUAACUCUUACGGCCUGUUACAGAAAAGUAAAAAAUUUUUUACUUUUCUGUAAUUUUCUUUGUUCUUUUCUGUAAAACAAAAUGUUACGGUUACGGACAACGUGAACUACGCCAUAAGAAUUCUUGUAUUUUACUUUUCUGUAACAGACCGUAACUUUUAUUACGGUUAGUUACAGACAAUCAUGAACGCACCU